rnacentral:rRNA from 1 species
AGCGAACGCUGGCGGCGUGCCUAACACAUGCAAGUCGAGCGCGGGCAUUUCGGGGGUAACCCCGGGAUGUGCUGAGCGGCGGACGAGUGAGUAAUACGUGGACAACCUGCCUUAAAGCUUGGGAUAACUCCGGGAAACUGGAGCUAAUACCGGAUAAGACCACGGUGUCUAUGGAUGCUGAGGUAAAAGGCGGCCAGGAAACUGGCUGUUGCUUAAAGAUGGGUCCACGUCCCANCAGGUAGUUGGUGAGGUAAAGGCUCACCAAGCCAAAGACGGGUAGCUGGCCUUAGCGGGUGGUCAGCCACACGGGGACUGAGACACGGCCCCGACUCCUACGGGAGGCAGCAGUGGGGAAUAUUGGGCAAUGGGCGAAAGCCUGA